UUGAUAUCUUUGUCUCUGAGUUAAAACUGUGUUUUACUUUUGCUGCAUAUUGUGUAUGUAUGAUCAUAUGAUCUAAAGUUUCUCUCUUACUUGCAUUCAGGUUGCAUUAAAUUUUGAUGACGCUGUGAGUGAUCCAAGUGGUAGUUGAUGAUUGUGUUGGAGAAUCAAGCAAGGCCUGGUUGUGUGAAGAACCUGUGUGAUGGCCAUGAGUGAAAUAAAACUCUAGAUUGUGUGAAAGAAUCUGAGUUGUCAUUACUGAUAGUUUAGAUAUAUCAGUAGGAGAAGUUGUUCAGUUGUUCUUGUGUAGAACUAAUUGAUUAACAGAUCAUGAGUGUGUAGAUAGAAAGGUGUGAAAACUAGAAUGACUAGUUCCUUGUGUAGUUGUGUUGUAGAACUAACUAUCUUUGUAUACUCAAAUUGAAGAUUAGUGAAAUAAUCUUAUCUGGUGCUUUUUCCCUCUUUGAGGUUUUGCAUCAGAUUUUUGAUAUCACUCUUGUUGUGUUCAUUGACAAAUCUACAGCAUUUCUAUAUCUUUAUUUUGUACCAGAGCAGGUGCUAGAAGGUGUCUAGUAGAUCCACACAAAAUGGAAAGAAAUGCAGUAAAUCAGCCACCAAAAUUUGAUGGUGAUGACUUUCCCUAAUGGAAGAUCAUGAUGACAACGUUUAUCUAUACACUUGAUGUAAAAGCAUGGAGAGUCAUGCAGACUGGUUACAAACAUCUUGUCAUAAAAUCUGAAACUACUUUUGAAUCUGAAUCUCAAUUAAUGAAUUAUCUUUGUAUAAUGCAGAUUAUGUCUCAAGAAAUGCCUUCUUCACUGCUCUUAGAGCUAAGGAAAGAAGGCGUAUACAAUACUGUGAAACUGCAAAAGAAGCGUGGGAUAUGUUGGUUACAUCUCAUGAGGGAUGUGAGACAGUCAAGAUUCAGAAACUUCAAAUUCUUGCUGAGGAGUUUGAAAAUUUGAAAAUGGGUGAGGAUGAUCUACUUGAUGAUUUUUACACAAGAGUAAUUAACAUUACAGGUCAGUGUCAAAGCUUGAAUGAACCCCUUCGAGGAACACAAGGUUGUAAAGAAAUUCCUCAGAGCCUUGCCAAAGAAAUAUCUUCCCAAGAAGGCAACCAUUAUGGAGGUGCACAACUUGAAUAAAUACUCCCUAGAGGAUCUAGUAAGUAAUCUCAAAACCUUUGAAUUAGAGAUGAUAUCUGACAAUGUUUGGCCUGAUAAAAAACAAAAAAGUGUAGCUUUGAAAAGCUCACACAAGAAUGAAUCAGAUGGUGAUAUUGAUACUGUUGAUUUUGUAUAGAGGUUGAUCUUUUAUCUCAAGCCAAAGUAGCUAGGACAUGAGGAGGGGGAACUUCACAUGUUUUACAUGAAAUGGUGGGGAUUUAAGAUCAAACACUUGAGUAUUGAUGUCGUGGGAUGUCUCUUGAAUAUCGAGUCCCCUAAAAUCAACUGAUUUGGGAGUGACUGCAUUUGACUUACUCUAUAAGUGUUCAUAAAUCUAUAUAUAUAGAGAUUUUCUCAACUGCGGACGUCCGCACUGAUUUUUUGGUGCGGAUUUCCAUUUUUGCACCACUUCCCUAUCGAAUUUCCUCAAACUUUCUUCUAGACAUAUCUAGAUCAUCUUGUGUAGAUCAUCUCUGCAAAAUUUCAGCCAAUUUGGUGAUCGUUAAGGCCCUCAAACUUGCGUUACAAANNNNNNNNNNNNNNNNNNNNGAAACUAUGAAAAGCAGUUUCGUUACUUGUCAUGUACAAAGCCAUUCUAUAAUAUAAUCAUGUAUGAUCGAAAGUAAUUAAUAGAAUAACAGACAGCAACCAAAGAGCACCUUACACACAUCAAAGAUUCAUAACAAUAUAUUUCUUAUUACCUGAUCACAAUUAUCGAAGCUCUAGUACCACUUCAAUGUCAAAAUACUUUUACGUAGAAUCCUAGGAUUGGAUGAGACCGAGUUAACAAUCACCCUCGAUCCAAGUACAACUCCAACUCGGGUUCAUCGGCACCCUCCUCAUCAUCAUUAUAAUCAUCUUCGUCAUCGUCUGCCUUCGGAGGAUCAUAUAUAUAAUCAUCGUCAAAUUCAAAUUCAUCCUCUUCGUCUUCCUCAUCACCAUCAUCCUCAUCUUCAUCUUCACCCUUUUCUGGUUUCUUCUUUUCCUUGGCAUCCCUUUCCUGUUCCAUCUUCUCAAUCCGAUCCAAGUACAUCUCUUCCUUCUUCCUGUCCCACUCAACUUUGUCCCUGCUUACCUCCCUCACGGUCGAACCUCUAGUCAGUUCUCUAGGAAACAUACUCGGCACCAAGUACUGUGAGAAAGAGUUGAUUUCUCUGUUACCCUUUCGCCGCUUAUCUUUACCUGCAGUCUGGUCAAGAUAAUACUCUGUCGUCUCCUCCAGCCACCCCAGGCUCUCUUUGAUCAACAACAUCUCUUCCUCGUUGUUUUUCUUCUUAUUGGACAAGGAUGAUAAAACAUGGGAGGCAUCAGGUAGGUUAAUAUCAGGAAACAACACAAAGGGUUCUGCUUUGGUUAUGCACCACGUGAUUCCGAGUUCUUAACAUAAACUAUCUCAUUUGUCCACCAUACUGUCAAAUACAUAUUGAAAACUUUAGUUUGCUUUGCCAAGAUCUUUGCUUCUUCCAUAUAUUGUUUUCUUUCCGCAUUUCUACCCUAACAUAACUGAAGGUAUAGGGUUGCUGGCAAUCCUUAUAUAGAACAAAACACAAUCUAUGUAGCCUAAAGCAAUUGGGAGAUUGGUCUUGCACAUCAGAAGAACAAGUUGAAGAAGUAGAAGAACCAACAUGAUCUCAUGGAACUCANNNNNNNNNNNNNNNNNNNNNNNNNNNNNNNNNNNNNNNNNNNNNNNNNNAGAAAUGCACUGAUAUCACAGGACAAAUUUUCUGAGCAUGGAGAAAUUGAAAAAGUGACAUUGUUUUUUCAAUUACUAUCUCAGAAACCUAUAAUUCCCAUCUUUUGUAUGUCUACUAAGUUAUCUGUUCUAAAAUGACACAAGUGGUUCAACUCUCAGAGGUCUUGGUAUAUAGGUCUUCCUCUGCAAAUACGCAUUGUUCUUAAACUUUUGGUUGCAACACUAACUAACUUCUUCCAUUAUUGAUAUGCUUUGCAAAGCUAUAUGUUGGUGUUUCAAAAUUUUCAAUGUGCAGUUUGAGAUAGGCAAAUUCAAGUUGGUUCAAAUGCUUGGUGUGGUUCUGGGCUUUAUCUUCAGUUUGGACAAAGUGUUAUGUUAUCUUCACAGGCCCAGUAAUUGAACGUUGCUUGCCUUUUCGGUUGCCUCCUAUUCCCUAUAAGUUAGCAUGAUUGUCUAGGUAACUUCUUCACACUUUUUCCUUCACUAGGGUUUUGUGUACUUGUGCAGAUCUCAACUUCCUUGCAGUUAUGGACAAAGGGAAGAAACCAGCUCUUCUAGAAGGAGUCAAUCCCAAAGUUGGCAGGGAAGUUAUUCCUCCAACCUCAGUAGAUUCUCAGUCCUCUCCUCCAGUCUCUCCUAGCUUGCAUCCAUAAUGGCAUCAUGCUCAUACCUUUACAAGAACUUGGUACACAAAGGAAAGCCCUAGCGUCCUAUGUUCCCUCUGGAGAACGACUCAGACCCUGACAAGAUAGUUGUUUAUCUCAACUCCUUGGAGAAGGUUACAAGUGACUGGGCGCAGGACAUACAAACUUAGAUUGGCGCUCUCACUGAAGCAGUGCUGAUUAUGGGAAAGAGGAUCAAUGAACUCACUCAACGUCUUCCUCGAUCUGCAGAUUCAGAUGUUCCCCUGGAUUCCUCCCGAGUCAUCUCCUACUGCACCAUCCUCAAUCAAACAAUCUCUAGAUUUCAUGUAAGAUUCUGCUGCUGAGCCUUGUUCAAAGAAACCCUACAAUCCCUGGGAGCCAAAGGAGAAGAAGGAUCAUGAUAAGGAUUCUUGGAACAACUGGCCAUAGCACCUUUGGCAUGCUAUUCAGGGGGAGUAAAAGAUCAAGCUUUUAGUCUUUGUUUUUUCUUUUUCUUUGAAAACUAUUUGCUUGUCUUGAACAAUUUGUUUGUUGUUGGUUUGUAAGUGCUUAAGCACUAUACUGGUUUGUUUGAUUGUUGGAUUAUUUGUGUUAGUUUUCUAAUAAGUUUAAAAACUCUUGAUGUGUUUUUUAAGAAAUUAUGGAAAGGAUUUUUGAGAAAUUGAAAAAGGAUGGAAACUGAUUCCUAAUAUCUCAAAAAUCUUGUUUUUGUUUUGUCAUUCUUGCAGGUCUUGAUCUUGUGUUUGAAUAGCAAUGCCAAAGGGGGAGAAUAUUGAUAUAUUGGCCAAUUCUAUUCAAACACAAGAAAUCCUUUUGGAGUUAGGAAAGACAAGAAGAUGGUGAUCAUAGCAAAAGAACUUGAAGUCUUGCAUGGUCAACGGCUGUAGUUAGCUAACAUAGAAUCAAAUGUUUGAUUAUGUACAAAGGUAACUGAUCUUUAUCUUAUUUUGGUAAGUUGAUAAUUGGAUGAUGAAUUUGUGGGAUUUUACAUUCAUACUUAUUACCUCCAUGAUCAUUGAUAUUUAUUUCAUGAUUUCCUUAACAAUCGAUAUCUACUCUUUUAUGAGAGAAAUAUUUUUUAGGAAUAUGUUUCUAUUGAUAUGCAAAGUGCUUAAUCAAAGUAAAUGAUAUGAUUGAGAAAUACGAGUGCUAAGUGCAGGUGUUAUGGACAAUACAAUGUGAUUAUUCACUGAUUGUAGUCUAUGAAUUGAAAAGCAUUAGUUAAGGGGGAGAAUUUCAUUCUCUAUAUAUAUAUAGCUCAUGUUAUGCUGUGAAGCGGUGUGCUUGUUGCAGCUGUUGUUUAGACUUUGAUAUCUUAGUCUCUGAGUUAAAACUGUGUUUUACUCUUGCUGCAUAUUGUGUGUGUAUGAUCAUAUGAUCUAAAGUUCUCUCUUACUUGCAUUCAGGUUACACUUAAGUUUGAUGAAGCUGUGAGUGAUCCAAGUGGUAGUUGCUGAUUGUGUUGGAGAAUCAAGCAAGGCCUGGUUAUGUGAAGAACCUGUGUGAUGGCCAUGAGUGAAAUAAAACUCUAGAUUGUGUGAAAGAAUCUGAGUUGUCAUUACUGAUAGUUUAGAUAUAUUAGUAGGAGAAGUUGUUCAGUUGUUCUUGUGUAGAACUAAUUGAUUAACAGAUCAUGAGUGUGUAGAUAGAAGGGUGUGAAAACUAGAUUGAAUAGUUCAUUGUGUAGUUGUGUUGUAGAACUACCUAUCUUUGUAUACUCAAAUUGAAGAUUAGUGAAAUAAUCUUAUCUGGUGCUUUUUCCCUCUUUGAGGUUUUGCAUCAGAUUUUUGAUAUCACUCUUGUUGUGUUCAAUGACAAAUCUACAACAUUUUUAUAUCUUUAUCAUAUAUAACCUUAAACCCUAAAAAACUAAUCUGGAUGUGUGAGAAAAGAAAGCAAAAAAAUGCAAACACAUUUAUGAAAAUUCUAGAGUACCCACCAGUUUUUUACUUUUCUAUACCGUGCUUUUUUUUUUCUUUUUUUUUUACAAACAUAAAGAAAUUUGGUUAAAACUUUUGUAAUAAAUGUUCAUAUGUUAUAAUUACGAAGUGUGAACCAAAUUACAUACUUAUGACCCAUUUUACAAAAUUAGGGACGAAUGUGUUGUCGAAUUGUAAAUUUUCAGAUUUGGACCAAAUAGACCAUUUAUCCUUGUUCACGUAAUAUGGUUCUUGGUUUUGUAAUUGAGUUGUGUUUUUUGUAUUGAGAAAAUAAUUACAUCUUUCACAACUUAAGGACAUUUGGUCGAAAAUUUUGUAAUAAAAUGUUCAUAUAUUGUAAUUACGAGGUCUGGACCAAAAUUACAGAUUUAUGACCCAUUUUAUAAAAUUGAGAACGAAUGUGUUGUUGAGAUGAUAAAUUUUCAGAUUUAGGACGAAUAGACCAUUUGUCCUCGUUCAUGUAAUAUGGUUCUCGAUUUUGUAAUUGAGUGGUGUAUUUUAUAUUGAAAAUAAUAACAUUUUUCACAACGCUUUUACAAACAUAAAGACAUUUGAUUGAAACUUUUGUAAUAAAUGUUCAUAUGUUGUGACACGACCCGCCCCAAAUUUCACUCUGAAACCCAGAGUAAGUCGUGCGGGGACCACCUCCAAGGAAAAUUUACCGAAAAUUCGGCAUAACCUCCCUUGAAAAUGGACAACCCUUCCUAAAACCUGCAAACACUUCUGAAAAUUUAAAUCCAACCUUAAACUCCUGGAGCCUUCGUGCUCCCCAAAUCACAACAUCUCCCAAUUAUUUACUAACUUUAAAAGAAUAAUCUCACAACCAACCAUCACAGUUCAGAGCAAUUCUAAUUGAAAGGAAAUAN
rnacentral:lncRNA from 1 species